rnacentral:misc_RNA from 1 species
GAAAUGCGAUAAGUAAUGUGAAUUGCAGAAUUCAGUGAAUCAUCGAAUCUUUGAACGCACAUUGCGCCCGCCAGUAUUCUGGCGGGCAUGCCUGUCCGAGCGUCAUUUCAACCAUCAAGCCCCCGGGCUUGUGUUAGGGACCUGCGGCUGCCCGCAGGCCCUGAAAACCAGUGGCGGGCUCGCUGUCACACCGAGCGUAGUAGCAAUCACCUCGCUCAGGGCGUGCUGCGGGUUCCGGCCGUUAAACAGCCUUACAAAACCCAAGGUUGACCUCGGAUCAGGUAGGAAGACCCGCUGAACUUAAGC